AAAGGAAUAGACGGGGACCCGCACAAGCGGUGGAUGAUGUGGUUUAAUUCGAUGCAACGCGAAAAACCUUACCCACCUUUGACAUGGUCGGAAUCCUUUAGAGAUAGAGGAGUGCUCGAAAGAGAACCGAUACACAGGUGCUGCAUGGCUGUCGUCAGCUCGUGUCGUGAGAUGUUGGGUUAAGUCCCGCAACGAGCGCAACCCUUGUCAUUAGUUGCCAUCAUUUAGUUGGGCACUCUAAUGAGACUGCCGGUGAUAAACCGGAGGAAGGUGGGGAUGACGUCAAGUCCUCAUGGCCCUUAUAGGUGGGGCUACACACGUCAUACAAUGGCCGGUACAAAGGGUCGCUAAGCCGCGAGGUGGAGCUAAUCCCAUAAAGCCGGUCGUAGUCCGGAUCGCAGUCUGCAACUCGACUGCGUGAAGUCGGAAUCGCUAGUAAUCGUGGAUCAGCAUGUCACGGUGAAUACGUUCCCGGGUCUUGCACACACCGCCCGU
rnacentral:rRNA from 1 species